UAUCUGCUAUUCUUUUCAACUCGUCUCCCUCUAUGCGGCGCCACCCUCUCAUCCAUUCAUCCUCCGAUCAUGAACCUCCAUCGAAGCCACCGUGAAACAAAGCCCUCUCCCCGUCACUAGCAACGCCACCGUGAAGACUCAGAACCAAGAACUCCAACUAUAUAUUCUAACGCUGCCAUAAAACGGCCACUAAAACUCCAAUGACUCAACGUAAAGAGAUGCUAGGAACUCCCCAAAUUCUAGUGAAGACCCGAAACAUAACCCAGUGGUGAUGGCUUGAGAUAUUGGCGUGAUUGGUUGCUGCUCAUACACAUGGAUGGGAACACCUCUUGUGCUUAAACUGUUUUAUUUUUGGGCUGUUGGAUUUUUAUUGGACUUGCAUUGGGCU